GGAAGAUUGGCAGAGUGGUUUAUUGCGCUGGUCCUGAAAAUCAGUUGCCCUUUGGGGCUCGUAGGUUCGAAUCCUUCAUCUUCCG
rnacentral:tRNA from 1 species